GAGUAGAAUAGUAUGAAUAGAAGACUCAACGAUACAGUUCAAUCAGUUAGUUUCUAGAAUAUUGUGCGCUUUACAUUUGAUUACAAGUGGUAGCGGAAUUUUCUGACAAAAAUUCACCAACGAGAUCUACUGUUUUGACGACUUACUUAAAAUCUAUAAUUAGUAAUGGCUGAAAUACCAUCUCUUGCGCUUUCCAAUGGAUAUAAAAUGCCUGCUUUUGGUCUUGGUACGUAUCAGUCCCGUGCUGGAGAGGUGGAAGCGGCUGUAAAGGAGGCAAUAAACCUAGGAUACCGUCACAUAGACACAGCGUUCUUCUAUCAAAAUGAGAAAGAAAUUGGUCAGGCAAUUCAAGCGAAGAUCAAGGAUGGAACUGUGAAAAGGGAAGAUCUUUUCGUUACAACUAAGCUCUGGAAUAACUUCCACAAAGAGUCAAGCGUAGUUCCAACAUGUAAGAAAUCGUUGGAAAAUCUCGGAUUAAGUUAUGUAGAUCUUUAUCUGAUUCAUUGGCCAUUUGCCUUCAAGGAAGGAGACGAUUUAAUGCCCAGAGACGAAAAUGGGGCACUUUUGAUGUCGGAUACUGACUACCUCGAAACAUGGAAAGGAAUGGAAGAGUGCGUGCGAUUAGGAUUAACUCGUAGUAUCGGAAUUAGUAAUUUCAAUCAGGAACAGAUCACUCGUUUACUUGCUGUAGCCAAGAUACUGCCUGUAAAUAAUCAGGUCGAAGUGAGCAUAAAUGUGGAUCAAAAGCCAUUGAUACAAUUCUGCCAAAAACAUAAUAUCACGAUAACCGGAUAUUCACCGCUAGGACAACCAGGUAAUAGGGCGGGGAUACCAACUUUCUUGGACAAUCCAGUGUUAGUAGAGUUUUCUAAAAAGUAUAACAAGACGACAGCACAAAUUGCUCUAAGAUAUGUCUUGCAACAAGGAAUCGCUAUCAUUCCGAAAACAGUAACACCGAGUCGAUUGAAAGAAAAUAUGAAUAUAUUUGAUUUUUCCUUAACGGAUGAGGAAAUGGCCUCUAUAGCAAAACUUGGCACGUAUCAACGUGUUGCACGAUUUGCAGAUGCAAAGGGGCAUAAGUACUACCCGUUCGAAUAAUAAAAGUUUCAUUGCAAACAAGUAAAAUGACAGGAAAUAGCUCAUCAGAUUCAGUAUAAAUUAAUAGUAAGGUAUAUCCCCUUUGAACUUGCAUAAUCCCACGGUGUAAUUCGGUACUUGUUUGACCCUUAUUUGGUCAAUUAGAUUUAUUGAAUGCCAUGGAAAAUUUCGAUGCUCCGGACGACGUGACAUCAUACGCUGUAACAAUGUGGACACUGUCACGGACAAGGCUAAUCGCAUUCAGCCAAUGUUAACCUUCAUUAAAGAGUGUAUACACUGCGAAAUCGUUAUAAAAUGCGAAUCGCUAAUAACUCAUUUAAAUGGUUAGUGCAACGUUGAAUAACAGAAAUAAAAAAAAAUAAGGUAAUUUCUGACUCUCGCAAUACAAAUACAUUUUUGUACUGCAGCGAAGCACGUACAAUCAAUAUGAAAACAAUUCUCGAAACUAUAAAACUUCUGUUUCAAGGAUGGAUGACGCAGUGAUGAUUAUUGUUUCUGUAAUCGUUAGAGAUACUGUAAGCGGAAAUACAAUCAACGGACUAGAACGAAGUUGAGUUGUUUGAAAAGAUGUAUUUUGAAUGAAAAUUGUAUCUAACGAAAUGAGAAUGCAAAUCCUAUAGUAUAUUUCAUUUUCAUUUUCAUGUACCAAAUUUUUAUAGUCAUAUGAAAGUACUACUAAUUGCUAUGAAAUCUAAUAUGCUUAGAAUUCUAAUAUACCUAAUUAAUUAUAAUAUGUAAAUUAAUUCAUAUGCAUAAUAAAUACAAUGAUGUAUACUUUCUGUAA